AUACGGAGGAUGCGAGCGUUAUCCGGAUUUAUUGGGUUUAAAGGGAGCGUAGGUGGGAUAUUAAGUCAGCUGUGAAAGUUUGGGGCUCAACCUUAAAAUUGCAGUUGAUACUGGUUUCCUUGAGUACGGUACAGGUGGGCGGAAUUCGUGGUGUAGCGGUGAAAUGCGUAGAUAUCACGAAGAACUCCGAUCGCGAAGGCAGCUCACCGGGCCGGAACUGACACUGAUGCUCGAAAGUGCGGGUAUCAAACAGGAUUAGAUACCCUGGUAGUCCGCACAGUAAACGAUGAAUACUCGCUGUUUGCGAUACACGGUAAGCGGCCAAGCGAAAGCGUUAAGUAUUCCACCUGGGGAGUACGCCGGCAACGGUGAAACUCAAAUGAAUUGACGGGG
rnacentral:rRNA from 1 species